rnacentral:rRNA from 1 species
UACAGAGGGUGCUAGCGUUGUUCGGAAUUACUGGGCGUAAAGGGCGCGUAGGCGGUUUGUUAAGUCUGUUGUGAAAGCCCCGGGCUCAACCUGGGAAUGGCAAUGGAUACUGGCAAGCUAGAGUGCGGUAGAGGGUAGUGGAAUUCCCGGUGUAGCGGUGAAAUGCGUAGAGAUCGGGAGGAACACCAGUGGCGAAGGCGGCUACCUGGACCAGCACUGACACUGAGGCACGAAAGCGUGGGGAGCAAACAGGG